rnacentral:rRNA from 1 species
GAUGAACGCUGGCGGCGUGCCUAACACAUGCAAGUCGAACGGGACUAUGUGGAAGAUCUUUUCGGAGUGAUUCCUUAUAGUUUAGUGGCGGACGGGUGAGUAACGCGUGGACAACCUGCCUCUCACUGGGGGAUAGCAGCUGGAAACGGCUGGUAAUACCGCAUACGCACAGAGCACCGCAUGAUGUACUGUGGAAAGAUUUAUCGGUGAGAGAUGGAUCCGCGUCUGAUUAGCCAGUUGGCGGGGUAACGGCCCACCAAAGCGACGAUCAGUAGCCGGCCUGAGAGGGCGGACGGCCACAUUGGGACUGAGACACGGCCCAG